AUCCUUUGACCACUCUAGAGAUAGAGCUUUCCCUUCGGGGACAAAGUGACAGGUGGUGCAUGGUUGUCGUCAGCUCGUGUCGUGAGAUGUUGGGUUAAGUCCCGCAACGAGCGCAACCCCUAUUGUUAGUUGCCAUCAUUUAGUUGGGCACUCUAGCGAGACUGCCGGUGACAAACCGGAGGAAGGUGGGGAUGACGUCAAAUCAUCAUGCCCCUUAUGACCUGGGCUACACACGUGCUACAAUGGGAAGUACAACGAGUUGCGAAGUCGCGAGGCUAAGCUAAUCUCUUAAAGCUUCUCUCAGUUCGGAUUGUAGGCUGCAACUCGCCUACAUGAAGCCGGAAUCGCUAGUAAUCGCGGAUCAGC
rnacentral:rRNA from 1 species